UGGAAUUACUCUUGAUUGACAUUGAUCUGAGCAGUUUAGGGCACUGGUAAAGUGAGUGAGGUGCCUCUCUGUAGUGGCUAGUCAACUGGAGGAUAACAACCUACUGCAGCUGGCAGCUAAUGUGAACUUCAUCAUGUUUCAUCCACCUUCCUGAAACAACCCCACCAAUGACAAUGAACCAGACUUGGUGCUGAAGAUGCAAAUAGGAACCUAGUGGGGCUUACGAAAGCUUUCUAUGGGAGUUAGGCUCUUUUGUGAAUCCCACGAGGUGUCUGUCUGAAUCUUUAGGCAUCUAAAUUCUCCGUAAACUGGCCCAGAGGAUACAUAGACAUUGAGGGCCCCGCUCCAGCUCAGGUUUUUGAGUCCACCUGAUCCCCUGGGACUGAGCUUGGGUGGUCGGCCGAAGCUGCCGCCCCAACCGCAGUGUCCACACUAUUAUUUUUAGCAUGCAGACCUAGCCCUAGUCACACCCAGCUCUAGUGUAGACAUAUCACAAGUCCCAUUGACUUUUAAUCCCACUGUGGUCCAGAGCUGGAGGACGCGGAUCCAGAACUAUGCCCAGCUUUAGCAAAACAGAACCCCACCCCACUGGGACUUCGGGAAAUCUAGGCCACCCACGUUUUUCCCAUCUCAUUUAAGUGCAGGAGAGGCCAGCAAUUAAAUCCUUAUGUGGCACGGGAACACCAAAAGAUACAAAGGAGAGAUACCAUUCUGAAGUGAGACUGAGUCAUGCAAACAAUGCAAAUGAUGUUGAAUUGGAGCAGUCUUUGACUAUAACUCACCAUGCCAGAGAGGUGUUUCACGUCCGGUAAGAGGUCUUGGGAACAUAUAAAAGGGCUCCCGUCCCAACGAUUCGCAUUCACUCAUCUUCGCUUCUCUCCACGAGUUCUUCUCUGCAUUCAGGGAUUGCACAGUCUGCAGCAUGGGAGCCAGUGCAAAGUGUGCAGCCUCUCCCGGCAUCUGGCCAGGAACAAUGGCACAGCUGGAGAAAUCCUGCUGGAGACCAGAAGCAGCGAGGUUCCCCAAGCUACAGAAAGAUGUGCU